AACGAACGCUGGCGGCAGGCUUAACACAUGCAAGUCGAACGGUUGUAGCAAUACAGCAGUGGCGCACGGGUGAGUAACGCGUGGAUAUCUGCCUUUUGGUUCGGAAUAACUCCGGGAAACUGGAGCUAAUACCGGAUGGUUCCUACGGGAUAAAGAUUUAUCGCCAAAAGAUGAGUCCGCGUACGAUUAGCUAGUUGGUGAGGUAAUGGCUCACCAAGGCGACGAUCGUUAGCUGGUCUGAGAGGACGAUCAGCCACACUGGGACUGAGACACGGCCCAGACUCCUACGGGAGGCAGCAGUGGGGAAUAUUGGACAAUGGGGGCAACCCUGAUCCAGCCAUGCCGCGUGAGUGAUGAAGGCCUUCGGGUUGUAAAGCUCUUUGGUCGGGGACGAUGAUGACGGUACCCGCAGAAUAAGCCCCGGCGUAACUUCGUGCCAGCAGCCGCGGUAAU
rnacentral:rRNA from 1 species